AACCCAUGUGACGUUACCAAACUGUUGCCUCGGCGGGAUCUCUGCCCCGGGUGCGUCGCAGCCCCGGACCAAGGCGCCCGCCGGAGGACCAACCAAAACUCUUAUUGUAUACCCCCUCGCGGGUUUUUUUAUAAUCUGAGCCUUCUCGGCGCCUCUCGUAGGCGUUUCGAAAAUGAAUCAAAACUUUCAACAACGGAUCUCUUGGUUCUGGCAUCGAUGAAGAACGCAGCGAAAUGCGAUAAGUAAUGUGAAUUGCAGAAUUCAGUGAAUCAUCGAAUCUUUGAACGCACAUUGCGCCCGCCAGUAUUCUGGCGGGCAUGCCUGUCCGAGCGUCAUUUCAACCCUCGAACCCCUCCGGGGGGUCGGCGUUGGGGAUCGGCCCUCCCUUAGCGGGGUGGCCGUCUCCGAAAUACAGUGGCGGUCUCGCCGCAGCCUCUCCUGCGCAGUAGUUUGCACACUCGCAUCGGGAGCGCGGCGCGUCCACAGCCGUUAAACACCCAACUUCUGAAAUGUUGACCUCGGAUCAGGUAGGAAUACCC
rnacentral:rRNA from 1 species